ensembl:lncRNA
GCGUCACCGUGACGUCACAGUCUGACGCGGGGCCGGUUAACGGCAGACAGAAUACGUCGUUUUUUUAAACGUCUAUUUCAUAGAUAAUUGGCGGUGAGCGUAAGCUAGCAGCUCGGGUUUUGUAAGAUCCAGAACCAGGAAAGGCAGAUGUCUCCAUAUGCGAGAGAUGGUGCUCUGGAGAGCAGGCAGGGAGCAAAGACACCAAUGCAGGAGCUUUUCUCUGCUUGUUUCGAUGCCCAUCCUUGGCUCUGUGCCCAACGCCAGCAGACCUCUCGGGAACAACAGAAUCGUUUCUCCGGACCCAGAGACUCCCGGAACCGCAACUCCAACCAGUUGCUGGACAUCCAGGAGAAAGGAUCUCUCAGUUGCUGCCUGAACUGCAGGAGAGUCGUCUGGAUCUCCGGAGGAACAGAGUCGCAUGCAGCAAAACCAAAAGCAGCUUCAGAGCCAGACUCAGCAGGCCCAGGAGCUCCAGAGUCAGGUAUGGUGCUCCCUGCCAGGCCCGGGGUUUUCCAGCAGGCCCCAGAUUCAUCAUGCUUCAUGUGCUCAUCCCUUUGAUGCAUUUUGAGCAGAAUAGUAAUUUGAACACCAAAUCUGAAAUAUUUCCAUCCCUACGUGGUUUCAUAUUACUUAAAUGUAGACUUUCUGGUGCCAUCUGAUCUUGAAUAAUGCAACUUGUAGAUGCACGGUUCAAAUGUAUACAUGUAUUAAGAAGUACUAAAAAAGGCAAACUAAUUACUUUCAUUUGUGAUGCACAGAAAGGAAACAAAGUAUACUCAUGGGCAGGGUUUUCCACUGAGCUACCAGACAAACAUGUUCUGUAUGACAAACACAGUGACAAACCAAGGAUUCUGACAAUUGAUGACAUUUGAAGAAAAAUGCUGCUUGCAACCUUACUGGAGAAAAUAACACUGACCAAUCUGAAUCAGUGACUGUGAUGAUUGAUCGUGUCACCUGUUACCAAGCGUCUAGGCAGACUCUGUUUGUGUUGUUCAGUCAGAGCCUGAAUGUGUUGUCUCAGUCGCACUCGCUCUGUUGUGUUGCCUGGAACAUUCUCAGUGCUGCCUUAGCGCUACAUUACAUCUAGCCGAUGCUUUUAUCCACUGCUGACCCAAACAACAAGAUUCAAGAAAGCUACUUUUCCCCCAGCAGGUCAUCGAAUGUAACAAUUACCCACCAUUUAUUUAUAACCCAAAUUCCACAUGGUAACCGUUAACUCAUUGUCUCAUCCCCAUCUAGCUCAUGUGCAUUAUAUUUCACUAUUACGUUAUGGUUUGUCUGCUGUGUUGGAGCAUUAAUACGAGUGAGGUAAUUAUUAAUUUUGACUACAGCAUCGAAAGAACAAAUUCUCUUCAAAAAACAUUUAAAGAACAUCCUCUAAGGUUGUGUUGGUUGUUUGUCUUUUGCAAAGUAUGACUGUAUCUUGUCAUAUCGAGUACAUGCCAUAGAAUUUUUUUCACACUGAAUGUUUUCAGUAAUAUACAGUGGGUUUAUCUUUGCAUGCAUUCUGCAGCUGUGAAGAUUGUUUUUGCAAACCCUGUUCCCGGAAUGGGCCUCUUCCUACAUCUGUACUUGCAAUACAUGACAGCCAUAUGUUCAUAAAUCUGUUCCCCUUUUUUCAUCAGCUUCAAGCGUUCAACAAUUGAAGAUAAAGUGUUAAAUUGAAGGUGAUAAUGAAAGCUUCUCGCAUUGCACCACGUGACCUGUCUGGAGCUGUCCACAGUGCUGAAACUUUGUUGCUCUGCUAAAAAAUAACAUGUAAUUGUGAGAAAAGACAACUUGAGAACCAGCACCCCGGGUAUGGGACUGUGCUGCAGACUUAAUGUCUCGGGGGUGUCCAUAGCUCAUUAGAGGGACACCAGAACGUGUUUCCCUUUAGGACAGGUUUAGGAAAGCAAAGGUGGAUUUGUUUGCCUGCCAAGAAAAGGCACAAUGUGCACCGUGAUCCUCCACAAGCCCGCUUGACCUUACUUCACAAGGAGUGGUUGCAUUUUCAGAAUGACUCUCCCAUAGACUGCCAGGGAAGACUGAUUUAAAAAGUAAAAUGAAAAGAAAUAAAAAUAUUAGAGUUACAGCGUAACUAGCAAAUGCAGGUUUACUCACAAUAUUGCUACACAACAAAUGGCCACGGUUUUGAAUGAAUGAUAUAAUCUGUUAAAGCCACUCAGACACAGAGGUUCUGCCAGUGGUUUGUGUACAAGGACCUGGUCAGAUAUUCACUUGAAAUAUCAAUGGUCAUGACUGACCAUGGGGCUCGGGGCCUGAAUAUUUGAAAAUGUUAGAGAACCAUUGCGUACUUCUAAAUGUCUGUUGUAUUUUUUGAAAAUCUUUUUGUGGCUUCAGCCAUUGCUAUCUUAUUGUUCAGAAACUCAAGCAUACAGCCAUGUUAUCUUUAUUGAUGAAAAGCAGCGAGCAACAAAAUGCCCAACUUCUUUUUGUAUCUAUUUAUUUUGUAUAGUUUUCCAGUUUCUUACAUUUCCGGCCUGCUAGAUUUGUUUUUGUAAAUGCUUUCUUCCUGAGGAAAGGAACCACACAAGACACUAAUGAUGUCCUUCAUUUCAAAAUGAGGUUACAAAAUUAAAAAAUCUGAUAUACUGUAUGUGGAGUGUUUUCAUCACGUACUUUGGCCAUGGUACCGUUAUCAAUGCUCCUUUGUGUCUCAGGGGUUUUCUAGUUUGGAAUUCUCUUGGCGUAGUGUACCCCUUAAUCUGGAUUAUGAUCCAUUGCUUACUAACAGGUGUUUUAGCACAAUACGUGAUUUAGAAAUAGAUUAGGAUGAAGUCCUAUAUAAUACUAAGAAUAUGGCUUACACGUACAGUAAGUCAUGAAAACCAUUAAACUUAAAUUAUAUAUUAUAUUAUAUAUACUGUGUUCCAUCGGUGUUUCCAGAAAUACUCUAUGUAACCUAAAUCAAUGCCUAGAAAUGUUUAGUUAUUCAAAUAUAGUUACUAUUUACCUAAAGUAGUGACCUGUGUUUCUCAACUCCAGUUUGCGGCGAUACAUUAGUUUUUGCAUCCAUGCAUAUGUGUCUGUGUGCCUGUUUGUAUGUGAGGGAACAUGUGAAUUUCUGGUAUUUGUCUCCUCUGUCUCUUUGUCACAUUUGUUGACAUUGUCUCUCUCCUUGUGCAACACUGUGCUCUCUGCUUUAAUGACGCAUAUAUCUCCAGUCUCCAGUCAGUGGUUAAUCCCUGCAGCCCAUUCUAGACACCAGAGGAGAGAAGAGCAGAGCAGGGUGGGGGUUGUAGGGUAGACAGGUAGAAAAAGAUACAAUCAGCCUCAGAGAUACAAUAUACAGGCAAAUCGGGGGAACUAGCACAUGCAUGUGAAUCUUGCAGAUAUACAGUAUGUGUGAACAUAUUAACAGCAUAAACAACCACCAACAUGUUUUUGUCCUUUAUACAACAUUUUCAUUCAGCCCUUUAAAUUAAACUAAGUACUGACUUUCUAAAUUGAAAAUAUAUUUUCCCAUAAAUGUUUAUACCACUACAACGCAACGUGUGAAAAGCUUUGUCCGCAAAUGCGUAAAGUGUAAGAAUAUGGAAAAUGAACAUUGUAAAAGCAAAACACAGGAGCUACUUAUUGCUACGCGUUCCUGCUGCUACAUGCAGUUAUUCAACAUGGCUCCCUCAAUCAGCAGGUACAGUGCUUCUGACUGCUCACACCUCAGCCAACAGAAUCCAAAUAGUGAUUUUACAAUAUGUGGGUCUCUACCAGAUCAAUAAAGUCUCAGGUUAUUAUUGCAUUUUGUUCACAUUGUUAUUCCCUUUGUAGGAUCAGAAUGUUGUUGUUGAUUUAAUUGUUUGUAUCCAGUAGCGCUCAGCCCCUGGUUUACUGGGCUUUUUUACAAACUGGCAAACAUGUUCUGUUGAGGCAGCUGCUUAUUAGCAUUGCCAUGUGCUUAGUUAUACGUCUCAUUUUAAAGGGUUAUUCAAGAAACAGUAUAGAUAAAAGCGUGGAGUAGAAGAUUUAUUUGAGCAUGGCCCUUUCUAACCGUGGUUAUCUUGGGGUUAAUUUGAGCUUCUAGCAGACCCGCCGGUGUAAAUAAUCGCGAGUGUUAUGUGUCGAGGUGGUGUUGUCUGACCAGCGGCUGCUGUCAUCACGCCAGCCCCCUCCCAAGAACAUGACUUUUAGCACCAAAUGAUUGCUAAUAAAAACCAGUGAUUGAGAGGAGGACAGAGUGUGCACCAUAAACAGGCUGCAUUCUGCCCUUUAAUUUCGCCGUCGUCUGAGAAUUGGUUUUGCUGUGCUGCAGAGUAGGUUCCGCACACAGGCAGUUUAGUUGUCUGCCCCAGGACCGAAAUUGAAUUUAGCCGUGUGUUGUGAGUGUGUGUGAAUGUUUUUGUUUGUACGCGCAUGCGUCCAUCACUCUCACUGCCUUUGUCUGCGCCUGUGAGUCUGUCUGCAUGAGUCAGUUUGGAGUGCCUCUGUGUGCAGAAACUGGCUUCGCAUGAACUGCGUAUGUAAGAGUUUUUGCGGCAGUGGUUGUUGUGCAUGCCGUUUUUUAUACUUUCUUAUUCUCUAGUGACUUAAUCGUUUUACACUGCCAAGUUGCUUCAAUACCCUUUUACACUAUCUGUUUGUAUUGGGGCAUUUAUUUAGUUGGCACUGCUGUGUUGUUUCUGGAUUUGAAUACUUCUGUGUGGUGUAAUUUUACGAUUUAUGACCAUUGCGUUAACCCGUAAACCAAAGCCCCGGUUAGUGUUUGGAUCAUCAGCUUGUUUUAGAAAACUUUCUUUGGCAGUCAUUUUCUGUUUACUGUAUGCUGAUUGCAUUUUUUAUAAAGUAGAUGAAUUGUCCAACGGUGUUUUUUCAGGGUGGUUAGAUUGUGAGGGUUCUUUGUGUGGGUUUAUGGUGCUGGUUCUUGAUGAAAGCCUAGAGCAGACGCAUAUAUCAGAGCUCCAGCUCUAAUAAAAGGCCGGCAAGCUGUGCUGCUCUCCUUCUGGGAACAGCAUCGCUUUUUACUGCAUAUCUGACACCAAGAUAAAGUGUCCUACCAAUUAGAAAAAUAUUUGGCCACAUACCUAUCAACAGCCAUCUCAAGGUUUUAUUUUUUUAUGCCAUUUGAUCUGGAAUCCUGGCUAUUUUUACAGUGUGCUUUUCUUAUCAUGUCUUUGGUAUACACAUAUUAAUGUGCACCUUCCCACUGCACCAUAAUGCUUUAAUGAAAUAACAGAUUUUUUAUUUUUGGUGUCUCUUUUCUCAUUCAGAAAGGUAGGGCUGUGUGCACUUUGGCUUUGCUUUGGGAGUGAGACAGAAUGUGUUUUAGCAUUUUGCAUGAGAAGAUUCAUGCUGCUGGGUGUGUUUGUGUUGAUGUCAUUCUUGUUGCCCCUGUCAUCUGUCUGUGCCUCAUACAGAGAUGCAUAUAUACUUAACCGCAGAUUCUACUACCCAUCUCGGUUAAAGAAUACCGUAGGUUUUUUUUUUCUUCCCAGAGUGCAUUAAAAUGAAAUCCUCUCUUGUUGUUGUGAAAAGAAGCACACGUAAAAAAUAAUUGGCUGUAGGAGAGAACAAAGGGCUGGCUCCUCUCUCCUCCCUGCACACCCCAGCCAGGCAUUAAUAUCAAGCCUGCUGCAUUGUUCUGCUGUCUGCAGCCAUCCCCCUAGCCAGACACUCAGCUCUGGAGAAGUCACUUUUAAUGUCUGAUAAUCAAGGUGAAUUUUCAAAAAGCUGCCAUUUUCAAAUGAUGGUGUAUAUAUUAUGUGUAGAUGGCAGUUCAGGAGCAGAGAAGCUCAGCUUGGUGAGGAUGAGAGCCUCAGCCAUGCGAAGUGAAAGAGAGACACCCAACGGCCACUGAAGGAACUGCAGGCUGAUUUAAGCUCUGAUCAGAAUUCUUUGAAGGAUGGAGGACAGCUGGUUUAUCAGUGUCAUUGCUUAAAUGUGUGUGAUGAUUUCCUUUGCAGUUCAAAUGUAUUAUUUGCAGGGGUUAAUCUAGCCUCAGCUGAUUGUAACUAGCAUUGCAUUGUCUACUAUAAUAUGAAUGGUCCAAUAUUGCAGCAUCUGUAUGUGUCUCCUGUGGCUGUGGAGUGUCAUGGGAAUGUAUUUCUCGAGUACAGAUGCUGCCUGCUGUUGCCCCUUGCUAAAGCGAGCUCUUGUGCAGCGUUAUUGGGGAAUCAGGUAGCCAGCAGCAGAGCAGUGGGGCCCCAUUUCCCUGCUACAGGGCACAGACUCAUCUUCCCCUCGCUCCUCCCCUCUCCCCUCAUCCCCCAACACUAGGUAUGAUUAUUUCUCCUCUGCUCCACCGCACCAUUAUAUUCCAGGACCGCAGUUACCCCUCCCUAUUGUCAUUUUUCAUGGCAUGUUUUUACCCGUGUGCAGCACUGCACAUUUGCACUGUGUCUGUGCAAUAUGUUAAGAAGGUGAAUAUAUGCAGUGUGCAGAAUGUAAUAAGUAUAUAUUUUAUUUUCCUUGCCAGUGAUUUAGUGUUUUUUCCGGUGCUUGAGAAAAAAAGGGCAGUUCUAGCCAUGUAUCUUAACAAACAUGACUGCUGCGUAUGCACUCGCCUCCGAGCCUUUUUACUCACCGGGGAUACAAAAUUACACAUCUGAGGCAGACCGGUUGUUUUUCGUGCUGUGAGUGUUAAAAACCUUCUUGGUAUUUUAGGGUGUAGGCAUGGCUAACACAGAUUGGGUAAAGUUUUGGUUGUGUAUGUGUAUAUUGCUGCAUUACAAACAUUUUGAAUGGAUAGCAAUUUUAUAACUGACCAGGUGUUUGGACAGGGCCCUCAUUUGGUCUUUGUGCUUAUAAUACCCCUGACACAAUUGGCACAAAGGCAGGCAUACAUCCAUCAACCGCUCGAGUUGUUCACCACCUUCCGUCUGCCUCUCCACAUUGACCGCUGGUAGUCUGGUAGCAAAAAAGCCAGGCAUGAUUGAAGAUCCGAUGCAAAUACAUAAGAUGCACAAACACACAAAUGUCUGGCUGAAAUGUACAUUGUAGUCAUCAGUAUCAUUGAAAUGGGUUAUUUUCUAAGAGUGACGCAGAAUACAAGAUGACUUACUCUGUGAAGCAUCGUAGGACACAGACCUGCAAAACCAAUAAUCGCAAAGGAACAAGAUACAAGACCUGAUAUUUCUAUUUUCACCACGGCUGACCUCAAAUCCUAGCAUUUCCUCCGCUCUCACUUUGGACGAGUUGAAAAAUAUCCAAAAGGAGCAGGAAAUAAGAACUGGAAAUUCUGAGGCUACAACUAUAACAGAUUCAGGGAGUCUACUGCAGAAGUGAUGUAAAAAAUGAUCCAGUGUGCGUGAGUGUCAGUGAGUAUUUGAGGUUUAAGCUGUCUUGCUGUAAAAGACUUUGCAAUGCACUACUACUACUACUACUACUACUACAUUGCUAAAUUCAAGUACAUUUGCCAAUUUACACACCACUGUGUGGAUAUAAAUUAUUUCUGAUGUUCGUCUGCAUUAUCUUUAUGUAUUGCUAUACAGUAUUCACAUGUACAAACAUCUUGUAUAAAGACAACUCAAAAUAUUUACUGUGGUGGUUUUGUUUGUGAUCUUUAGUAUGGUGCAGCUUCUAUAUACAGACUGGCUGUGGGUCCCAUUGCAUAUCAUAUCACAUUAUAUCUUCUGUGAAGAAACGACUUUGAGUCUGCUGGCAGUCCAAUAUUAUAUUGUCAUAUCUGUCAGUGUAACGACUGCCAACAGGUAGGCUCAAAUUCCUUCUUUUUCUGUUGAUUCAUGGAAAAGUACAAAAUUGAAUGCAUCUCGGGGCUUACGGUGCUGGUUCAUGCUCCCCCACCAUGCACCUGAUACCUGGUACAGCGCCUUGAUGUAACACUGUUCAUAGAUAACUCUGUUUUGCCUUCAGUGUGAUUGCAUAAUAACCAAGCAUUCAAAUGUGUGAGUGCUUUAUUUGUUCCCCGGCGGUAGUCAUGAUAGCAUUAUUUUUCCCCGGUUGGUUGCAGGGCAUACUUUCAAAGCGUGGAUCUCAGCUGUGGUGCAGAAUAGAGAGAGAGAAAAGAGGAGGAGAGGCCCACGGGCAUUCUGUUCUGAACGGAUGCACAAGGAAUCUGGAGUGUGGAGUGGGAAGGAGCGAUUCGCCAGUCCAGUGUGGCACAGCGGGUCUGGCUCGGUGCCAGCCCGGGCACUGUGCCCACGAGGAGGCAGUGUGUGGCCAGCAUUGACUGAAGCUCAGAGAGAGUGAUGCACAGAUAGCAAGAGAGAGACUGCGAGGUAUGAAUGUGUCUGUGAGGGGCUGUCUGAGGUCUACGCUACAUUUGCAUGUGAAGCAGCCAGGUUGUGAUACAGCAGGAGAGCAGAGUGCUUCAGGAGAAAAUAAGGGGAGAUUUCCUGGGCAGUGUUAUGUCACCAGCUCUAUUACUGCUCUCAGGCCUAGUGUAUAGAAACAGCGCUGGUUUAACCUGCAGUUGAACUGGUAUCCUGUUCUAACCGUCGAGGAGUCGAUUGAAAAAAGGUUCAUGUAAUCAGGCAUUUGCUGUUUCUUCUAAUCAUGAUCUUGAUUUUUUACUGUUAAUUACUUUCUUUAUUGUUUCUUUAUGCACUGCCUGAGUAAAUGCUUUCUCCAUGAGACACAAUUGUUGUCUCUCUGCUUUGUAUGCAUUUAAGUAUUAUUUGCCCUUCUACAUACUAUCUGUCUCUGCCUUUCUUUCUCUGUUCUCCUGUUUGUAUCCCUAAAAUAUUCUGCACACCCCUCAGCAGUUCCGCAUGGCAGACAGCCCUAAUAUAAUCUGUGCGUCUGGAUUCUAAUUUAUACCGUCAGGAUAAAAUAAAUAGUCUGCAGUUAAUUAUGGGGAGCCAGCUCCUGGCUUUGCCUCUGAUUUAUGAAGUGCGCGUAGGCAUCCUGCAACGCAUUUUUCUUAAUUUAUUUUUAAUCUGUCUUUCAAUU